rnacentral:lncRNA from 1 species
GCAGAGGCGAAGCGUUGUGGCUGAGCGUAGUUCCGUGUUUCCUUGUAGGACCAGCGGCGGGAAUCUUCCUCGCUACAAAAUAACCACCUUCUUACUCCAGGUUGUUUGUCUGAUAAUGGGGUGAGCUGAAAUGGAUGCUGUAUUCAUUGCAGACGUGCAUCACAGGGCCUGUCUUGUGAGACAAGGAAACAUUCCUGCUGAGAAAGCCCUUGUGGCUAGAUCCAAAGUCUACGUAGUUUUCAAGAGUGUGUUUGUAACAGAAAUGUGAAUAAGGUUGAACGGCUUCAACUACCUAAUGUAAGAUUAUCUUUGCAAAUGUGCCAUCAUAUAGCAAUAGAACAGUUCUGCCUAUCGUAUUCCCUCUCAGCCUUGUGUUUGCAAUGCACAAUUGUAGGUGGAGAGAAGACGUCUCUUCCAUAGGACCACAGCUCAGCACCAGCUCCCUGCCUCUUGCACGUGAAGAGAGGCGAGGGUUCAGUCUGGGAAUACACACAUUGCAGUAUCAUAGCAGCAAAGCAGGAAACUGAAUGAUCUGUGGGCUUUUAAUUGCUGAUUUAGAAAAACUAUAAGCAGAAUGAAGCAGCACUAGGGAAUUGGUAUUUACUGUGUAAAAGUUUCUUAGAACCUGGACAGGUUCAAACAGGGGCAUAUAAUGGAGAAGUGUACAGAUGUUUAGACCUUUUUUAGAAAUUAAAGAUCCAGAAAAUAUGCUAUGUUCAGACUGUCAGUUCAGCUAGAAAAAAAAAGUAUAUUAAGAAAUGAAUUAAAGGAAAUAAAUGUUACAAGAAAAUAAGAAAUGCUUUUAUUGUGUUGCUUUUUUUUAUUGUGCUCUCCAGGUGAG